GUGACUGGGAUCGGGGCUUGCAUU
rnacentral:miRNA from 1 species